rnacentral:lncRNA from 1 species
CCGCUGGUGGUGCCCGGCCCGAUCUCCCUCCCUGAGCAGCAGGUUAGCCCCUCUGUUCAUUUGAUUUCGUUUGUUUGUGACAAAUAUUAUCCCUAACUAGGAUCAAAAGAUUCGUCUCAUUAUUUACAGCUAAACUGUGUAAUUAGUUUUUGUUUUCAUUUAUAUUUAAUGUUUCAUGUAUGUGCCACAAGAUUCGAUGUGACGGGGAAUCUUAAAAACUUUUUGGUUUUCAGGGAGAACUAAACAAGGCCUUAGGUUAGAAAUUUUAGUUAGUUAGUAUAGUUGGAAUUUUUAGUUUGUUAGUAUAGUUAGAAAUUUUAGUUAGGUUCAAAAAUUUAUUUUCAGUAGUAGUAGUAGGUUCUCGGCCAUCGCCCCGUUUUUUUAUGCGGAUGGCCUUCGUGCCUCCUAUUGAUAAUAUAUCGGCCGUCGUGCCGUGUUUCUGUGUGUCGGCCAUCGAGUCGAUUUUGUUUUGCAGGUUUUGGGAACCUCCCCGUACAGGGGAGGUUCUGCCGAAAUUUUUAACUAAUGUUUUUUUAUUUUACACAGCAGAGGACGUGAGUGGAGCUUCGGAGGAGCUGAUCGUCCACGUCGGUGCUGCUGGUCUGCCUGCACCGCUGCGACUCGCCACUGCCCCGACUCGUCACUGCCUCGCUACCCUUUCUCCACCGCCACCUUAGGUAUAAACCAGCUCUACUCCUUUGUCUUUGUCGUAGAAUGCGUAAACGAGUUAGGCGUCUCCCGUCCGAAAGAGAUACGAUUGGAUGCAUAU